rnacentral:lncRNA from 1 species
AGAUAAAGUCCCUGCCUCCAUGAAGCUUACCUUGCAGUGGAGGAGGAAGACAAUAACAUCAUGUCAGAGGUGAUACAUGCUAGAAAAAUACUAAGUGGGCCAAGGGGAGAGUGUGAAGGUGGACACAGUGGUGGUGGCUAUUUUUGAAAGAGGCAUCAGGGUAGGGCUCCCCACUUCGAGUGAACUAAGCAAGCAAGGAACAUGGAUCUGCAGGGUUUGAGAGUUCCAGGAGGAAGGGACAGCCAGCCUGACAUGCAGAGUGAACGAAGGACAGCCAAGGACCAGGUGCUGCUACUGCUACUUCAAACUGUAAUAGUGUCUACAAACAAUUUGCACUUUGGAAUGGCACAAUCCCAGGGGGUAAUUAACAAAUCCAGGGAACAAUCUUUUUAAAAGCCUUUAAAAGCAACAGAGACUGAGGCCACCUUCGAUGAAACAGAAUCACUCCACUUUCUCUGUCAUUUCAGAAGAUACCUGGCUGACUCGUAGAGAGGUGUUGAGAGCACAGGCCCUGGGCUUUAUGGAAAGUUCCUCAAGAUGUGUUAAUUAGAAAUAAAAUGCAGCAUGGUUAUCGGCUGCAGAGCUUUCUGAAUGAAGCAGACUCUGAAGAGGGACUAAGAUUUCAAGAGUUAGAAGCAGAGUUCACAAAGGGCCACCCAAGGACUGUGAAUUCCAAACAUACCAUUCACUAUUCCAAGGUAGAAGACUGCGUUCACCAGCAUGCCUCCUUUCCGGAAGUGGUCGCUCAUGUGCUCUAACCAGUUGGCGUCCAAACCGCUCACUGUCUGGCCAUUCUUGGAGACAUGGAGAGGAAUGGUGACAGGGUAGUAUUGCCGGCACUUCUGAUGGCUCUUCGGUUUGUUGAAAAGGGUGAAGAUCUCCAUUUCUGUUGGGAUUUGUAAAGGGAGUGGAGAGAGAAGAGGUCAACUGAUGAUAAAAAUCUGUUUCAUCGGCUUAAGUGGAAUCUCUCAGGAGCCUGAAUAAAUGAUAUGAUGAAUGCUGAAAUCUCUGUGAGGCUGUAUUGUUGCCAGAUAAUAAAGCCUCAUUCCAAGUAGUAAGUUGAGGCUGGCUUAAAGUAACAUGGACCUGAAGGGUUGGGCUUCUG